rnacentral:rRNA from 1 species
GAUAAACGCUAGCGGCAGGCUUAACACAUGCAAGUCGAGGGGCAUCACAAGGAGCAAUCUGAGGUGGCGACCGGCGGACGGGUGCGUAACGCGUAUGCAACCUACCCGUAACAGGGGGAUAAUCCGGAGAAAUCUGGUCUAAUACCCCAUAACAUAAGAAUCGGCAUCGGUUUUUGUUAAAAUUUUCGGAGGUUACGGAUGGGCAUGCGUAGCAUUAGCUUGUUGGUGAGGUAACGGCUCACCAAGGCGACGAUGCUUAGGGGGACUGAGAGGUUUUCCCCCCACACUGGUACUGAGACACGGACCAGACUCCUACGGGAGGCAGCAGUGAGGAAUAUUGGUCAAUGGGCGAAAGCCUGAACCAGCCAUGCCGCGUGCAGGAUGACGGCUCUAUGAGUUGUAAACUGCUUUUGUACGAGGGUAAAGUGGGUUACGUGUAACCUUUUGAAAGUAUCGUACGAAUGAGGAUCGGCUAACUCCGUGCCAGCCGCCGCGGUAAGAC